rnacentral:rRNA from 1 species
UACGUAGGCAGCAAGCGUUGUUCGGAGUUACUGGGCGUAAAGGGUGUGUAGGCGGUCCUCUAAGUUUGGUGUGAAAUCUCCCGGCUCAACUGGGAGGGUGCGCCGAAGACUGGAGGGCUAGAGUGCGGGAUGGGAGAGUGGAAUUCCUGGUGUAGCGGUGAAAUGCGUAGAUAUCCGGAGGAACACCGGUGGCGAAGGCGGCUUCCUGGACCGACACUGACGCUGAGGCGCGAAAGCUAGGGGAGCAAACGGG